UUCGAUUAGAGUUUGAUCCUGGCUCAGAUCCAUUGCUGGCGGCAGGCUUAACACAUGCAAGUCGAGCGGUAGCACAGGGGAGCUUGCUCCCUGGGUGACGAGCGGCGGACGGGUGAGUAAUGUCUGGGAAACUGCCUGAUGGAGGGGGAUAACUACUGGAAACGGUAGCUAAUACCGCAUAACGUCGCAAGACCAAAGAGGGGGACCUUCGGGCCUCUUGUCAUAAGAUGUGCCCAGAUGGGAUUAGCUAGUAGGUGGGGUAACGGCUCCCCUAGGCGACCAUCCCUAUUUGGUCUGAGAGGAUGACCAGCCUCACUGUAAUUGAGUACACUGUCCUUACUCCUUUAGGAUGCAGUUCUUGAUUGUAUAUCUACUAAUGGGCGCCUAGUUUGAUCCUAUCCAUACUCUCCAUGUGUAAUAUAAUACUCUUCUUAGUCUUACUAGUCCUCUUUCACCCUUAAGAUUUAUUCGGAGUCUAAUUCUAAAUCCCCCACUUUUCUUAUUUGCCGUCCCCUUAACUCAUAUAUUCUACUUGAUCUUCUUCUCUUUAAUCUGCCCUUUUUCCGCAGUAUAUUACGUAUUGGCAUUUCACUCCAGUUUCAAUCUUGAAAUAUUACAUAUUCUCCGUUACUCCCUCUCACUCUUUCUUGACUAACUUUUUUAUUCUUCGUUCUUUUUAUUCUAACCGGGUGCGUAUUUCUCUUAUGGUAAUUAUCAUCCACUCUUACCUGUGGCUAUUGUUUACUUUUUUGUCUAUAAUACAUUACUCUUAACUCCUUCCUUAACACC
rnacentral:rRNA from 1 species